GAUGAACGCUGGCGGCGUGCCUAAUACAUGCAAGUCGAGCGAACAGACGAGGAGCUUGCUCCUUCGACGUUAGCGGCGGACGGGUGAGUAACACGUAGGUAACCUACCUAUAAGACUGGGAUAACUUCGGGAAACCGGAGCUAAUACCGGAUAAUAUUUCGAACCGCAUGGUUCGAUAGUGAAAGAUGGCUUUGCUAUCACUUAUAGAUGGACCUGCGCCGUAUUAGCUAGUUGGUAAGGUAACGGCUUACCAAGGCAACGAUACGUAGCCGACCUGAGAGGGUGAUCGGCCACACUGGAACUGAGACACGGUCCAGACUCCUACGGGAGGCAGCAGUAGGGAAUCUUCCGCAAUGGGCGAAAGCCUGACGGAGCAACGCCGCGUGAGUGAUGAAGGUCUUCGGAUCGUAAAACUCUGUUAUUAGGGAAGAACAAACGUGUAAGUAACGGUGCACGUCUUGACGGUACCGAAUCAGAAAGCCACGGCUAACUACGU
rnacentral:rRNA from 1 species